rnacentral:tRNA from 1 species
GGGAGCAUAGCUCAGCUGGGAGAGCACCUGCCUUACAAGCAGGGGGUCAUAGGUUCGAGCCCUGUUGCUCCCACCA